CGCUCUCCUUGUAGUCACACUUGACGAUUGAGAUCCUUACAAUUCGAAGAUGAACAGCAAUCUCAUAUUUACCAUUCUGCUAGUAUCCGUUGGCCUGCUAUGCCUUGGAGGUGUCACCCCAGUUGAAGGUAAGCCGCCGAAAUGCAAUUGCCAAAGGAGAUGCAAACACGGUGAACGUUCAGAGGGUCCUUGUAGGCUUAGAGGUUAUCGCUCUGGGGUAACAUGUUGCCGGAAGCGACGUGGCUAGGACGUGUUUCAUUCGUUUAUUCCCUAACAGGGAGGAAGUGGAUAAGGACUUCAAUCCUGAAUUUCAAAUUAUUCACUUUGAAUUGUGAGAAUAGUUUAUAUCAUUAAAAUUAUUCUUCAAAA